CCCCUAGUAACGGCGAGUGAAGAGGGAAAAGCUCAAAUUUUGAAUCUGGUGUCUUUGGCAUCCGAGUUGUAAUCUAGAGAAGUGUUUUUUGCCUUGGACCACACAUAAAUUCCCUGGAAUGGGGUGUCAUAGAGGGUGAGAAUCCCGUUUGUGGUGUGGACUACCUUGGCUAUGUAAUACACUCUCAACGAGUCGAGUUGUUUGGGAAUGCAGCUCAAAAUGGGUGGUAAAUUCCAUCUAAAGCUAAAUACUGGCGAGAGACCGAUAGCGAACAAGUACCGUGAGGGAAAGAUGAAAAGCACUUUGGAAAGAGAGUDAAACAGUACGUGAAAUUGUUGAAAGGGAAGCGUUUGAAGUCAGUCACAUUGGUCAGAAUUCAGCCUGGCUUCUGCCUGGUUCACUUUUUGGCAAAU
rnacentral:rRNA from 1 species